rnacentral:rRNA from 1 species
CCUACGGGAGGCAGCAGUGGGGAAUUGUUCACAAUGGGCGCAAGCCUGAUGACGCAACGCCGCGUGGAGGAUGAAGGUCUUCGGAUUGUAAACUCCUGUUGCCCGGGACGAAAAGCUUCGACCUAACACGUCGAAGUCUGACGGUACCGGGUGAGGAAGCCCCGGCUAACUCUGUGCCAGCAGCCGCGGUAAUACAGAGGGGGCAAGCGUUGUUCGGAAUUACUGGGCGUAAAGGGCGCGUAGGCGGCCUGCUAAGUCGAACGUGAAAUCCCUGGGCUCAACCCAGGAACUGCGUCCGAUACUGGUUGGCUUGAAUUCGGGAGAGGGAUGUGGAAUUCCAGGUGUAGCGGUGAAAUGCGUAGAUAUCUGGAGGAACACCGGUGGCGAAGGCGGCAUCCUGGACCGAUAUUGACGCUGAUGCGCGAAAGCCAGGGGAGCAA